GCCCUCUUAGCUCAUCCGGUAGAGCAACGGUAUCGUAAAUCGUAGGUGGUCGGUUCAAGUCCGACAGAGGGCU
rnacentral:tRNA from 1 species